UACGUAGGGCGCGAGCGUUAAUCGGAAUUACUGGGCGUAAAGCGCGCGCAGGCUGUUGUGUAAGUUGGGGGUGAAAUCCCACGGCUCAACCGUGGAACAGCCCUUGAUACUGCGCGACUUGAAUCCGGGAGAGGGUGGCGGAAUUCCAGGUGUAGGAGUGAAAUCCGUAGAUAUCUGGAGGAACAUCAGUGGCGAAGGCGGCCACCUGGACCGGUAUUGACGCUGAGGCGCGAAAGCGUGGGGAGCAAACAGG
rnacentral:rRNA from 1 species